rnacentral:rRNA from 1 species
CCUACGGGUGGCAGCAGUAGGGAAUUUUCGGCAAUGGGGGGAACCCUGACCGAGCAACGCCGCGUGAACGAAGAAGUUAUUCGUAAUGUAAAGUUCUUUUAACAGGGAAGAAAGAGAAAUUUGACGGUACCUGAAGAAUAAGCUCCGGCUAACUACGUGCCAGCAGCCGCGGUAAUACGUAGGGAGCGAGCGUUAUCCGGCUUUAUUGGGCGAAAAGGGUGCGUAGAUGGCAUAGUAAGUCUUUUGUAAAAAGGCUGGGCUCAACCCAGUAGGGCAAAAGAUACUGCAAAGCUAGAGUAUGACAGAGGCAAGUGGAACUACAGGUGUAGCGGUAAAAUGCGUAAAUAUAUGUAAGAACACCAGUGGCGAAGGCGGCUUGCGGGGUCGAUACUGACAUUGAGGCACGAAAGCGUGGGGAGCAAACAGGAUUAGAUACCCUGGUAGUC